AUGAGCUCUUCUCCUCCCUGCCCGCCGCCGUCGCAGGCCACGUCGUCGUACGGGUGCUGCUGCCACCGCCCGCUCCUCGCGUCCACCUCCGCACCGGCGAGGAGCAGAGGCGCUCGCCUCACGCUCACGCUCCGCUCCCCAUCCCUCCCGCUUCCCGCCGGCCCUCUCAGCAGGUCGAGGAGCCGGAGGGUCGCAUGCCGUGCGGCCGACGAGCCCGGGCCACCAGCCGCCAGCAAUGGCGACGAGGAGAAAAAAGGGGCUGUUGAUGAUGAUGCUCCAUCGCCUCCAGCCGACGGUGUUGUCCAAGCAGAUGCAGAUGCAGAGACCGAUUCUGGUGCAGACAAUGUAACCAUCUUUGCCUUUAAGACGAAAGAUGAAUCCCCGAAUGCAGAGCCGCUAAACUCAGCUCUCACAUCGCUUCAGAACAUCGACCGGUAUGCUAAAGCAGCCGCUGACAGCGCUGCGCAGACGAAAGAUGAAUCCCCGAAUGCAGAGCCGGUAAGCGCCGCUGUCACAUCACUUCAGAACAUCGACCGGUAUGUCAAUGCAGCCGCUGACAGCGCCGCGCAGACGAAAGAUGAAUCCCCGAAUGCAGAGCCGGUAAGCGCUAGCGACACGGUUCGGAACAUCGACGGAGAUGCUACUGCAGCCGCUGACAGCGCUGCGCAGGAGCAGGUGGUGGAGGUUGAUGUUAAUGUUGCUAGUGGCUCCCCUUUGCCUGGAAUGAAGCAACAGCUUGAAGAAGCUGUGAGUAUCCCCAAGGCUACAGUAGACAUCCUAAAGGAUCAAGUCUUCAGUUUUGACACGUUCUUCGUGACCAGCCACGAGCCUUAUGAGGGUGGAAUACUAUUUAAAGGGAACUUGCGUGGUGUGCCAGCCAAAAGUUUUGAAAAGAUCACAACUCGACUAGAGAACAAAUUUGGCGAUGAAUUUAAGGUUUUUCUUCUCAUCAAUCCAGAGGAUGAGAAGCCAGUUGCAGUAGUUGUACCUAAGCAGACAGUGGAGCCUGCCACUGGAUCCGUCCCAGAGUGGGCUGCUGCUGGUGCAUUCGGAGUAGUUACCAUUUUCACUCUGCUGCUUCGGAAUGUACCUGUCCUUCAGGACAACUUGCUAUCAACAUUUGAUAACCUUGAGCUAUUGAAAGAUGGACUUCCUGGUGCCUUGGUAACUGGACUCAUAGUAGGGGUUCAUGAAAUUGGACAUAUCCUUGCUGCUAGGGAUGCUGGGGUCAAGCUUUCAGUACCAUAUUUUGUUCCUAGCUGGCAGAUAGGGUCUUUUGGUGGCAUCACCAGAAUAGUCAAUAUCGUCCGCAAUCGCGGGGACCUGCUCAAGGUAGCAGCUGCUGGACCGGUUGCGGGGUUUUCGCUCGGAUUUGGUCUUCUUCUGCUGGGCUUCACGUUACCUCCAAGUGACGGUCUUGGUAUCAUCGUAGAUCCCGCCAUAUUUCAUCAAUCAUUUCUUCUUGGUGGUCUUGCAAAACUUAUUCUUGGAGAUGUUCUAAAAGAAGGAACACAACUAUCCAUCAACCCACUGGUAUUGUGGGCUUGGGCUGGUCUCCUGAUCAACGCCAUCAACAGCAUCCCCGCAGGAGAGCUCGACGGCGGCCGCAUAGCGCUCGCCAUGUGGGGAAGAAAGGUAUCAUCCCGGCUCGGCAGCGUCACCAUUGCACUGCUCGGCCUCUCGUCGCUCUUCAGCGACGUGGCGUUCUACUGGGCGGUGCUCAUCUUCUUCCUGCAGAGGGGCCCGAUCGCUCCCCUCUCCGAGGAGAUAACAGAACCGGAGAACAGCUACAUUGGCCUCGGCGUCGCCAUUUUGUUCUUGGGGCUCCUGGUCUGCCUGCCCUACCCGUUCCUCUUCGACCCUUCGCAAGUUACUGAUUUCGACUUCUGA
rnacentral:rRNA from 1 species